GACAGAACAAGGAGUAAUGGUCUCAAGUUGCAGUGGGGGAGGUUUAGGAAACACUGUUUCACUGGGAGGGUGGUGAAGCACUGGAAUGGGUUCCCUAGGGAGGUGGUGGAAUCUCCAUCCUUAGAGAUUUUUAAGGUCAGGCUUGACAAAGCCCUGGCUGAGAUGAUUUAGUUGGGGUUGAUCCUGUUUUAAGCAGGGGGUUGGACUAGAUACCCCCUGAGGUCCCUUCCAAUCCUGAUCUUCUAUGGUUAUAUGAUGGUUUCUCAUUCCUGCUGCCUCACCCUAGAGCUUGGCCCAUAAUGUUGUGAAGAAGCAUGGGGGUCUGUGCUGGUUUAACCUGAGAGAUUUGCUCCUUUACCUCACCCAGAAGCAGGGCACCUGCCUCAGGAUCCCCAAACUCAUUAAACUUCUCUCCAGGCUAGAGGAGAGAGCUAACAUGGAGCGUGAGCAGCUGGGAAUGAUUGCAUGGACAGCAUGCCAGGUGGAGGAGCUUCUCUCCAGUACCAUCCACAGGGAGUGACUUGGGCUCCAUCCCUCCAUGAGUGGGUCAAAAGCAACUCCCCACCCAAAUGCACCGAGGGAAGGUGUGUCCCAUUCCCAGCUCCAAGAACAAAACCUCUUCUCCCCCUUUACUGAAGAGGAACUUGAACUAGCUAAGGCAGCUGCAGAACAGCCUCUCUUACCUUCCAUUUCCACAUUGCUUUGAACGCACAGACUCGGGAUGCCUGAUUUGCAGGAUUGUGUGCCCCCCUGGAUGUAGCUUCAAACACAGCCAGAGAGAGCAGCUGGAUUUUCAUUCGAGCGCCAGAGCCACCUGCAAUGAGUGUGCUGGAAAUUGGCUGAGCUAGACACACAAAGGCACCUGUAGGCAAAUGCAGUUGCCCUUUAGCUCCUGUCCAACCAUUUCUAGGAGUCCAGCACAGGCCAGUUUGGUAGUGGUAGAUACCCAGUUUUAGACAUGUUGACCUCUGGGCCUGCCCACCCACUCGUAAUACAGAGACACCCCUGCUCUCUUCUUUAGCAUGGCAUACAGGCUGGAUAAGUGCAGACACGGGUCACUAGCCUGCCUGUCAAGGGCUAAAUACCAUCUCCCACUGCGUCUUGUGCUGCCUGUUUGCCCUCCGGAGGGCAUUUUCUGUGCCGUGAUGAAGCACAGGACCGAGACAGGAUUACAGCUAUGAUGGGGCCCAUGUGAAAACUCUCCAGCCGUCUCAGCUGCUCUCAUUAAGAAACCUCCCUGGUGGGUUGGAAAUUUGACACAGACAGUUUGGGAUCACAUCUCGCCACUUGGUCAGCUUUGAAUUUUGAUUUAGACCUAAGAAAACUCCCCAGGCAGUGCCCCCAAUCAGUGGCGUGCAGACAGCUCCGCAUGUGCCUGCGCAUGAGUGCCGGGGGUGGCGCUGAGCUCUCAAUGCCUAAGUGCCGCUUUGACGCAUCUGUUGCGCGUGGACAUCUAAAAAUCUCACGCACACUCAAUCUGCUGCUGCCAAGAACCUCACGAUCUUCUUAGCACAAAAACCAAGUAAGGCUGUAAACAAACACUGAUGAGAACCACGAAGCUAGCAGUGGUGUCUGCCCUCUGCCUUGGUACGAGGGGCUGGAUCACUCCCACAGCCUCAUCGCGUUGCUGCAACCUCAGAUGUAUAUUUCUAUUGUUCUUUGUAUGUUGGUAUGUAAGUAUUUACAUAGGAACGUAUGUAGGUGUGUGCAGGUGUGUGUGAGUCACCAAGGGGACUAUUUACUAUCAGUGUGAGCAACGACCGGGCAGAUUCCAGAGGGGGAUAGCAGGUUGGUAUUUUUUUUAAUUGAUCAGCUGAUUGACUGACAAGGUGAGGGCUUUGAUUAGGACCAAAUUUUUGUGCCUGUUGUUAUGGUGAUUUAUUUAAGAAUCAAAAGUUUCCUGUAUGGUGGCCCGUCCUUGUCACUCUAUACAUAUGAAUAUACAGGACAUAUUAUAAAUAUAUAGAUAUUAUACAUACUGUGUUGGGAAAGGUCAUUGUCCCCACACCCCCUCUGGCUUUGGAUGGAGACUUCUUCAAUACUCUGUAAGGUAGCUUUGAUGUGCUGGAAAUGAACAGAAAGUGCCAGCACCAUUCAAAAUGGCAACAAGGACAACAAUAAAGGAAUGAGCAUCAUUGCAAAGAUG